rnacentral:rRNA from 1 species
CGCUAGCUACAGGCUUAACACAUGCAAGUCGAGGGGCAGCAUGUCGGUUGCUUGCAACCGAUGAUGGCGACCGGCGCACGGGUGAGUAACGCGUAUCCAACCUACCCUUGUCCAUCGGAUAACCCGUCGAAAGGCGGCCUAACACGAUAUGCGGUUCUCAGCAGGCAUCUAACGAGAACGAAAUGUGAAGGAGAAGGAUGGGGAUGCGUCUGAUUAGCUUGUUGGCGGGGUAACGGCCCACCAAGGCAACGAUCAGUAGGGGUUCUGAGAGGAAGGUCCCCCACAUUGGAACUGAGACACGGUCCAAACUCCUACGGGAGGCAGCAGUGAGGAAUAUUGGUCAAUGGACGGAAGUCUGAACCAGCCAAGUAGCGUGCAGGAUGACGGCCCUAUGGGUUGUAAACUGCUUUUAUACGGGGAUAAAGUGAGUCACGUGUGGCUUAUUGCAGGUACCGUAUGAAUAAGGACCGGCUAAUUCCGUGCCAGCAGCCGCGGUAAUACGGAAGGUCCGGGCGUUAUCCGGAUUUAUUGGGUUUAAAGGGAGCGUAGGCCGUUUGUUAAGCGUGUUGUGAAAUGUCGGGGCUCAACCUGGGCAUUGCAGCGCGAACUGGCAGACUUGAGUGCGCGGGAAGUAGGCGGAAUUCGUCGUGUAGCGGUGAAAUGCUUAGAUAUGACGAAGAACUCCGAUUGCGAAGGCAGCCUGCUGUAGCGUAACUGACGCUGAAGCUCGAAAGCGUGGGUAUCGAACAGGAUUAGAUACCCUGGUAGUCCACGCGGUAAACGAUGGAUGCUCGCUGUUUGCGUCUGACGUAAGCGGCCAAGCGAAAGCGUUAAGCAUCCCACCUGGGGAGUACGCCGGCAACGGUGAAACUCAAAGGAAUUGACGGAAGGG